CUUUUAUCUAACUCAUUUACUCUCCAACUGCCUGCAAUAGCCAGGCUGCCCCAGGCUGGAGCCCAGAGCCUGGAACUACAGCUGGGUCGUCUCUCGGAACUUUCCUCGUACCUGAUGGUAAUAAUCUGGCCAAAGUUCAGUUCGAAGUUGUUGACUUGAGCGAUGAAGAUGGCGGCCAGGGCCUCGUACAGGGCCGUGCCGUCCAUGUUGAUGGUGGCCCCCACAGGGAGCACGAACCUGGUGACGCGCUUGUCCACGCCGUUGUUCUCCUCCAGGCACUUGAAGGAAGUAGAGGAGUGGCAGGACGAUCACGGCGUGGAUGAGCAAGCCAACGAUGACCGUCACUGUGUACAUGGCCAGCUGCCCCCCGAUCACACCCAUGUCUUCCAUCUCGACAAUCUUCCCUGC